CUGGGAAGUGAGAUGUGUCCUGAUUGACUGUGGGUGCUUGCUGUAGAUGCUGAGAGGUGCAAAUGCAGUUUUCUGGGUUGAGCUUCAUAGAUCUCUACAAAAAAUUAUCGCUCCACAAUGACGAGAGGGAGGAUGCCAUGUGGUGACAACAAGGGGUGCAGCAGGAUUGGCAGAUGAAGGCAGGACAUUCAGAGACAGCAACAACUCCUCCUGACACAUGCACAAGCCUUUAAGUGGCUAGGCUUCCUUGGCAGAACAGCUUUUUGUGCUAUGACUGGUAAUAGCUUAUUCUAUGUGAAGAAGAAAGCAAGCAGAGGUGAGCCAGAGCCUGCUGAAAUGGUAAAUCAAUGACCAAAUCUAUCAACAAACCCUAGGGCCCAUCCCAUCGCCACUGAGGCCUCCUGGACAGGUAUGGCUGAAGGGUAAAGACCCCAAAAGACAGAAAUUGGUUCACCUCACUUCAAGGGAAGUGAAACAGGAUAACACUGAAACAACUCAGUUUCAAAAGUACAACACACAGAAAGGACAAUGCACAAGGACAGUCUUUGUCCUUCGCAGAGCUCAUACAUUAGGAAAUGUUGUUUUACUUGACCCCAAUGUCAAUGCAAUGUCAAGAAAAAAAGAUGGCCUCAGGUUAUGUGACUGUAAAAACUAAGCUGCUACUUUUGAAAAAUUAUGACUUUAUAUAAAGCUAUACCAAGCAUGGCUCUCUCAGGCAGCCAUUAUUAUGUCUUUGAAAAGUGUUGGCUGCUUUUGAUUCUGUUACCAAUUCCCCAAAAUUUCAUCUUUGUGUAUUUACAUGCAUUUGCUAUGAUGUUUUGCUCUUAAUAUGUUCAUGCAUAUUUCUAAUUUCUGGACAGCUCUGUUAAUCUAAAGGGCUUCUGUCUCUGAUUACAAGUAGAAGCAGUACACACUAAGCUUCUCCUAUCCCAGGAUCACAAAGCACUGUACAAGGACAAAUUAAUUAUGCUUUGCAUCUUCUCUGAAGUAAGAAAUAUUAUUAUUCUCUUCUAAGUCCUGGAUUCUCCACCCCUCUGCAACUUAAUCAUGAGGCUCUGCUGAAAACCUAACUGGUAAACAUAAAUUCUGUAGUCCAUGAACACCAUAAACCUUCUGAAGUUUAAUUAAUUCUGAUGUGUAGUCUCUGACUACAUGCUGUUACUUGUAAUAUUCCAGGCAACUACAAAAUUCCUUUCAGGUAGAGAGAAAAAGCAAAAUUGAAAAGUUUCAGUGACAGUGGAUGAGAAAUCUUAAAGGAUGGAAGAUAAUGAGGAAGACAGGAAAAAAAACAAC